CCUCUGGGACUGUUCCCUAUCUGCUGUAUUAUAAAUCCAGCAGAUGUCUGGGACUUUGCAAUAGCCCACAAGAACAAGGGGAGAGACCUUGAGACCUCCUGCGGCUGUGUCUAAAGUGUCUUGCCCACCUCUUCAUCCUGGUUGGGUGGCCUGUAGCACACUCCCACGAUAAGGUCAGUCUUACUGGCCUUUGCUUUUCUUCUGACCUAGAAGCUCUCAACCCUAUCAUGGCCAUCGUUCAUUUGCAUACAUUCCCAUUCUUUCUUAACGUAGAGGGCUGCACCACUGCCUUUCCUGCCUUGCCUCUCUCUUUUGCAAAGUCGCUAGCCAUCCAUCACAGCACUCCAGCUGUGUGAGUCAUUCCACCACGUUUCUGUGAUUUUUCUCCUGUUUUUUGAUUCCAACAAAAGCCACGUAGGAUUAUUUUGAUUGUUAUUCUUUUUUUAAUGGCAGGCAUUGUGAUCAACUUAAAAAAGGAACGCAUGAAGAAUAGCUUUGUUUGCAUUCUGGUAACUGCUGAGGCUUUGGCUGAGGACAGCUUUCAGCUGCACCUGAACUAGGCUGGAUUUGUCUCCUGCUCUCCAUAGGUGAGUAUUUCUCUUGCAGACCUUUGAAUCAAUGAUUCCCCUGCUAUUUGUCUCUUCUGGUUGCUGGAGAGAAGAGCUCCAAUGUCACAUCCUGAUCCGUAAGGUGAUCAAGCUUGGUGAUUGUCAGUAAUUCAGGAUAUGCUUGCUUUUCUUGAAGUGAACUAAGGGAUAAGCUAUCAUGCUGUGCCAUUUCUUUUCCUGUGCGUAAUGCCAAGGGAUAGGGCUGCAGGUGCCUGCUGGUUCACGGGACAUGCCAGAGCUUUGUACACAGCUUAAGUGAUGGAAGAGGAAAGACUCCAGUAUGGUAACAACGUGAUUUCUAGUGUUUUGAACCUGCAUCAAGCCGUGGUUUUAAGCUGCAGAUGGAGUUCUUCUCGCAGGACUGAAGUGCUGAAGCUCUCUGAGCUCCGAAGGCACCCUGAACUCAUGUGAGUGUGACUGGCUGCUUUGCUUUUGGCAAGAGACCCUUUAGAGCCCCAGAGUGCGCUGUGCAGAGUCUCUAAGGAGAGGACUCCUGAGGCCGAAUUUAUUUGUAUCCCACGGGAGGCUUUUUCUUGGUUGGCAACGUGCUUAAAAAAGAAAGAAAUGCAAAUGGGCAUUUCCAUGGACUGUAUUGUGCUCAGUGCAGUGUCUACCUGUGUUGCAGAAUGAGCUCCAUGGCAUUGCAAAGAAUGCACCAAAGUAAGUAGUGCAGGAAAGCAUUUUUUCCAGUUAGAAUGUUGGCCUUCCAAAGCAGGCCUGCCUUGGUUGCACUGGCUUGCA
rnacentral:lncRNA from 7 species